GGUUCAAUUUAGCGUGGCGUUAGUCAAAAGACAUGAACAAACAGUAAUGGUGUGCGUGAAGUUGCAAGUGGAACGCGGGAAAGGAAUCAAUCAAUUCUUUCAAUUUUGACCCAACACGAUACCAUCAUCAUAUUAUUAUUCCUUUCUUUUUUAUUCAUCUUCACCAUCAUCAAACACUUCUCUUUUUCUUCUUAUUCUCUUCUCACAGCAACGUUUACUUCCGUUCACCGUUUUUUCUUCAAAUCAUCAAUGUAUCCAAAGGUGAAAUUAGGACAGAAAGAUGAAUACGACGGUGGUGAUGCACGAGAACUUGUUGGUUUGAAAGCUUUCCUCUCUCUAUCCUUCCACUCACCUAGUUCUCCAGUAAAGGACCAUAAAGUUCUCUCUGCGCCGUCUAUUGUCAAAGUACCAAACUGUUACGUGCCACAAGUGUCAAUUCCAGUAGUAUCUGUAACCCAAGAUUUUGGGGACUGUAGUUUGACAUCCGAUUCUUCAGGUUCUCCUGAACCAGAGAAGGAUGGAGACACUGAUGAGAGUAAACUAUAUAUUAGAGCCAAUUUGAUUCCACGAGUAUCUGUUACUCAAGAUUUUGGAAAUGGCGGUUUGACAUCCCAUUUGUCAGGACCAGGGGGACUAGAGAAGGAUCACAGACCUGAGAAGGAUGGCAAUACUGAUGAUGAGAAUAAACUAAACAGUAAAGCCAGUUCAAUUCCACGCCCCCGUGCUGUCAUUUCAAGUCCUGAAUAUCCUCCCGAAAAAGUAAGGAGAAUGCUUAUUGUCUCUUAUUUCCCCAGCUUUCACAACCUUCUAGAAGUUCUAAGUGCGCGUAACUUGGGCCCACUAAUCGAGUCAUCCAACCCAUUGGGCUAUGGUGCACUAUCAUUGAGAUUCUCUCCAUCACUACAGUGUAUAAAGUCAUAUAAAUGUUUGUGUAUGUCACAUGUUAUAAACUUGUGUGCCUAUAUACACACAAAACUAUAGUAAUGAAACUCUCCAUUUCUUUUGACAAAUGGAGAAGAUCCCUAUUCUUUGUGACCCCUUUUCAGAAAACUCACUGGCUUUAAAUCAGUCUAAAGCUUUUGCUCAUCGGAAGGAUGAAAAGAAUUAUCCUUGUGAAGAAAUUAAGAUAAGGCCAACUGAAAGCAAAGAGGGCAAAGAGCUUUCCUUAGCUGCUGUCACUUUUGUUUGAGCAGCCCAUUUGUUUUUGGUGCAUCUCAAUGUUCACUUUAUCCCAUUGCAAGGGUUCUCAUUGUGGGUGCAGUAGGUGGUUUCUUAGGUCUUCAUUCUCCUGUUCUCAAAACCUGAAUAGCAAAACUAUCGUAUGUAGGUUGGUUUUCCAUCAUUCUAUUUUAAAUUUAAUGCAAAUUAACACAUGAAAUGUCAUUGUGAUAAUAGUUCCAAGAAUCAUGUGGCCAAUCACUUUUCGUUCAAAUAAACAGCAGGGUUUGCUUCAAAACAUAUGAGAAUGACCUAUUGAUUGGGAACAGAAACAAGAUUGGAAAUGGAAGACUAUCUGCUCCGAAGAAUAGUAUUGUUUCACCAAAUAGACAUUCUCUUGCUCAAUGUAAAGUGAAAUCACUUAACACUUCUGAUAUUGCUUUAGACACAAGAAAUUGCGUAGAGCCUAAGUCUAAAGAUAAAACUGAUCCUGUAGGAAAGAAAAAGAUCCACAAAGGCAUCACAAAAUCUGAUAAUUUACAUAGGCCCUGGAAGUUUUAGUUUCAACGUAGUAUGAUCUUAAUCUAGAAAUAGGUUCUCUCUCAAGGAAAAGGAAAGAAUAAUAUAGUGCAUGUUUUUGAUGGAAACAUGAUUACAUGCUUAAUACUUCAGCAUUGAUUUUCAAUGCUUACUUGUGUGUGCUGUGUGGUUGUAAGCUUAUUAAGCAACAAGCCAAUGCCUGAGGGAUAAUAUAUUCAUAUUUGAGUUUUUUUAGAAAGAGUGUUUUAGGAUAAAGAAUUUGAUGUCUGUUAUCUUAAUAUAUUAGUAUAUCAAAGAGAUAAUUUUUUUUUUUCAUAAUAUCAAAUGUUGAAAAGAUAAUAUUUCAAAUGAA